rnacentral:rRNA from 1 species
CCUACGGGAGGCAGCAGUGGGGAAUAUUGGACAAUGGGGGCAACCCUGAUCCAGCCAUGCCGCGUGUGUGAAGAAGGCCCUCGGGUUGUAAAGCACUUUCAGUGAGGAAGAACGCCUGGUGGUUAAUACCCAUCAGGAAAGACAUCACUCACAGAAGAAGCACCGGCUAACUCCGUGCCAGCAGCCGCGGUAAUACGGAGGGUGCGAGCGUUAAUCGGAAUUACUGGGCGUAAAGCGCGCGUAGGUGGCUUGAUAAGCCGGUUGUGAAAGCCCCGGGCUCAACCUGGGAACGGCAUCCGGAACUGUCAAGCUAGAGUGCAGGAGAGGAAGGUAGAAUUCCCGGUGUAGCGGUGAAAUGCGUAGAGAUCGGGAGGAAUACCAGUGGCGAAGGCGGCCUUCUGGACUGACACUGACACUGAGGUGCGAAAGCGUGGGUAGCAAACAGGAUUAGAUACCCGAGUAG